GACAGAGGAUGCAAGCGUUAUCCGGGAUGAUGGGGCGUAAAGCGUCUGUAGGUGGUUUAUCAAGUCUUCUGUCAAAGAUCAGGGCUUAACUCUGGGCAGGCAGGAGAAACUAGUAGACUAGAGUUCGGUAGGGGCAGAGGGAAUUCCCGGUGGAGCGGUGAAAUGCGUAGAGAUCGGGAGGUACACCAAAGGCGAAAGCACUCUGCUGGGCCUUAACUGACACUGAGAGACGAAAGCGAGGGGAGCAAAUGGG
rnacentral:rRNA from 1 species